rnacentral:rRNA from 1 species
CAGCAGCCGCGGGAAUACGAAGGGUGCAAGCGUUAAUCGGAAUUACUGGGCGUAAAGCGUGCGUAGGCGGUUUGUUAAGUCUGUUGUGAAAUCCCCGGGCUCAACCUGGGAAUGGCAAUGGAUACUGGCAAGCUAGAGUGUGUCAGAGGAUGGUGGAAUUCCCGGUGUAGCGGUGAGAUGCGUAGAGAUCGGGAGGAACAUCAGUGGCGAAGGCAGCCCCCUGGGCCAAUACUGACGCUCAUGCACGAAAGCGUGGGGAGCAAACAGGAUUAGAUACCCGAGUAGUCCCUGUCUCUUAUAA